GGGCGUUGUUCGUGUGAGAGCGGAGGGUGGCGUGGCCUGCGGUGGUGGGAGUGGACAGGGGAGAGAAGGGAAUGGAUUAGGGGUAUAUUUUGGAGGUAGAACUAAGAGUACUUGGUGAUGGAUGUCGGUGGAGGGUGACGGAGACACAGGUUUAGAGGGUUCCUUUCAGGUUUCUGGUUUGAGCAACUAGCUGGGCUGGAGGGGGUUGGGUGGGAAAACCAGGUGUAGGCAGUGGUGGGGAGGGCAGACCCCAAGCUCACCUUUGGACAUGUUUGAGAUGCCAUGAGACACAUGAGGGAGCUGUCAAGUCAGCGCUGGGUCUGUAAGCCUGCAGGUGGGCUCAGGAAGACCACCCGGGUUGAGCUGCGUCUCUGGGAGCUGUGGGCCCAUCGAUGGUGUUGAAAGAGGUGAAAAGAAGUUCAGUCUCCCAAGGAGACUGUGGAGGUGAGAGGAGAGCGCCGGGCCUGAGCCUGAAGAGGUCAGUAGAUGGGGAGAUGAAGAAGGAAAGUCAGAGAGGAUGGUGGCAAGAAAGCCAAGAAAAGAGAGAGUGGAAGGCGUGUUAACUGAGGAGGAAGAUGGAGGCAUCUGGAACCACUGUGGGAUUCUGUGCAGAGAUUAGGAGUAAGGACAAUAAUGAACACUUAAGGACUCACCGUCUACCAGACAUGGGCUAAAUGCUUUACACCACUUCUCUUAGAUAAUUCUCCCAAGAACUCUGCAGCAUCUCCACUUUACGAAUGAGGAAACGGAAGCACAGCUGUCUUGGGCUUGCCCGGGGCCACACCGCUGAUAGCAGCGGUGCCAGGUCUCACAGUGGUUCUUACUGACUGGAGGCUCUGCACCCAACCAUGGCCCUCACUGCCUUGAUUCUUGGCCCAUACGGGCAAGGAUGGAUGUGCCUUAAACUCACCGUUGGUGCUUUAGAGCUUAGAUUGGGAGGUCUCACUUUAUUGGAGAAUAAACACGAAAACCACUUUGUUUUCUAGUAAUGCCUACUGGCUGUGCUGUGUUGACCAUGACCUGGGCAGCAGGUUCCCUUGGCAACUUCUCAAUUGGGUUCCAUAAUUUUGCACUCACUUCUGCUUAUUGCAACAGUCUCCUGGUUAUUGGAACUUACUCUCAUUCAUUUUGCAAUUUCAACUUCAACUUCAGAGUCCAUUCAGAGCUCCUUGCCUCCUCCCAGCCCUGGCCGUGUCCCUGGAGCCGAGGCUUGGAGAGGAGGAAGGCGUGGUCUGUUUGCUCGCACACCCUCCCUCUCUGUGCAUUUCCCCUGUGUGGUGGUGGUGGCGGGGGUUGGCUGGAGGGAUGGGACAGGGGCUUGCUUGCUUUCUUUCAGGAGGUCAUUGCCUGGUGCAGAUGUUGACCGUGGGUUUGGUGUGGAGAAGUGGAAACCCCAACAAGCCCCCAGGGGUCUGUUGGGAGCUCAGCAAUUUCUAAGCUUUGCGAGCCUGGACCCCAUCUUUCCGACGUCCCCCAGUGGUGGCCUGGUGCCACAUCCUCUUGUUGUCGCCCCGAUUUGGCUCAUGGCUCAGUGGUGUCAGGUGCGCCUGCAGCCCAGUCUCUCCUCUCCGUGGCCUCAUUGCUGGGCUUACGGCAGAGGUAGAUGCAUCUUUAGUUCUUCUGACGCUGGCACUCUCGUUCCAGCCACCUGGCUUCAGGUCCUGCUCGUUGGACAGGGCGGGAAGGCCAAAGGCUACGGAGCCCACCAACCCAGACGCCUUCCUCCGUUUCUUGCAGACGCUGCUAAAUGUGGUGAGGGAGGCUCUGAGGAGAGGGGAGCCACUCUCUUCUGUCACACAGCCUCUGAGUUCCCACGCCUCCCCCCUCACCUCCUCGUGAGGAAGAUCGGCAGGCCAGUUCUCCGCUUCUGCCCCCGAGCGCCGGAGCCCCCUUUGAGCCUGAAGAAUGUGGAACCUUCUGUUUCUGUGUUCCAUGUCUGGGGUCACGUCUAUGACCUCAGAGGUUGAGAGAAGACCCCAGUCAGGGCCUCACUGUUAGGGUUAGGGUUAGCUUGGUGCAGGGGACUGGAUUCCUCUCAGAAAGCUGGCUGCCACGGCAUCUCGGCAACUGUGAAUUUGUAGCUCUAGAGCACCCGGGAAGGGGUAGAAGGACCCGGGAUUGUCCCUUUAGGCUGACCUAGAGAGGAGCAGGGCCAGCUGUGGACUUUUCUCCCUGUUGCUUUGCUUUCCCGAGAGACAGGCCGCGUGAGAGGGUGGCACACUGAUCCUCUCUGGCCAUACAGGGCUCCCGGGGGCCACGAGCAGAGGUGUGGGGCCUGGUGGCCCUGGUCACCCUGAAAAAGGCAAAUCGACACUACAUCUUCCUCAGUCUUUGCAGGAACCGGGCCUGGUGAUGGUCACCAGGGCUCCUGAUGGAUAUGAUGACAUAGAGGCUGCCCUCGAAAUGCCAGCGAGGUGGUUAAAAGCACUGGCCAGAAUGAGGAAUGCAGAGAUGUGAGAACAGGCUCAUAGCCCAUCAGACUGUAUUAAGCUAAGCAAUACAGGUGUCCACUUGCCAGCACAGUCGCCGUCGCCAAGGCCACAUCACCCACAGGGGGUGGAGGAAGAAGCCAUGCGGAUUCAAGGUGCUGAACUUCAACCAUAGACGCUCCUUAUAGCAUCAGACGAGGUUUCCUUUUCACUUAAAAGAAAGGUGCCGUGUGAUGUCUCCCAGAUGUGUGCCUUGGAAGCUGUGACACAAGGCAACUGUGUGGUUGCCUCACCUGGGCUGCUGAAGCAGCGUGAACCCCAAUUGCUGCUUUAUUCUGCCAUCUUCAAGAUUACUCCAGAACUCUGUUGUCUUCCCUCCUGCACUGGCUUCCAAGGCUGUCCCUGCUGCUGCCUCCUGGUCCCAAGCUCGUUCGCCGUGCCAGGAGAAGACUACUCAUUGUCCCGCUACUCAUUUAUCCCUUCGUCCCAACCACGGUGCUGGAAAACCGGUGCCAUCCUUGUCUUCAGGAGGGACUUGAAUAAUGCAGGGGUUUUAGAGUGGACCAACUAUGGUUAGAGUGUUAGACAUUGGGAAAAUAGUUUUAGGGACAGUGUUAGAAACUAGGGAAAGCAUUUGGGGUAGAAGAGCAGUCUUUCAGGGGUAUCAAUGAGAUUUGGAAAUAGAAAUAAAUUUGUGGAUUUUAGUAGGGAAAAUAAUUUAAGGCAAUUGAAGAUUGUUUCCAAGUUGGAAGCAGAGAAUUGGAUUCUGACUCUAGAAAUCUGGGUUAAGUACUAUUUCAGUGAAGGUCCAUUCAGGUAAGUGUAGUUAUUUCAAACAGUGAAGGACUUCACAGACGCACACAGCUACAGGUACCAUAUCUUGGAAUAACUUGCCUGAGCUUAGAACGGCCCCUUAGAUGGGACACUUGCUCUGCUGUGUGCCACAGCCCCUGCUCACCCGUUCGCUGCCUGGGGGACUGGUCGGGCCUCUGUGUGUGGAUCCUUACUGAGGGGAAUUUGGAGAAAGAAUCAAGGCACGUUUCUUGGGCUAAAUCAUUUCACCUUCUCGAUGUUUUUUCGGCAGCUAGCAUUAUCUUUCAGUAACCAUGGACGGAUGGCCCCCAAAUUUUAGACCUCUACUUUACACUCCUUAAGAAUGUGCCCAAGGCCUUCUCUUCUCAGGCUAGAUUCUCCCUUGAGAUGCUCCACUCACAUAAUGACUUCAGUUAUACAACUACCAUGUCAUGGCUCCAGCCCAGCCCCUCCUCUGAGCUCAGCCUCGUGGAUGCUCCAGAGGCAACUCGGUUAACACGUGUAAGACUGAGCUUGCGAUGUCCCUGCACGACCUGGUUUUCUCCCAGUGUUCUCCCAGGGACUGACACCACCGUCCAUCCGGAGGCUCAGGUCAGAGACUGGGAGUGCCCUAGGAUCCCACCUUAUCUCCCCGUAUCCAGUGCACGCCAAGUCCCCUUGGCGUUACCUCCUAAAUGUCUCUAUCUGUCCUUUUCUCUCCAUCUCCAGCCCUAACUCCUAGUCUGGGACCAUCAGGUCCCUCCUGCCUUACUAACGUUGCCUCCUAACUGGUCUGUCUGCACGUACUUUGACUUCCUUUAGUUCAUUUCCCACCUGACGCUAGUGUGCACUUUUCAAAGGCACGUCUCAUGCUCGUGUAUUUCUCGGGGAUGCUUGCUCUGCCCUUCUCAGCACUCAUCACGGCGGCAGUGUCACGGUUCUGAGAGCGAUCCCUCAGUUACUGCCUGCCUUUCCCUGUGGACUGCCAGCUCUUCGGGAGUAGUGGCCAUGGCUGUUUUUGCUUAUUUUUCUCAUACCCCCAGCCCUCAGUGUGAUAUAUAGAACAUAGUGGGCACUCAGCAAAUAUUUCCCAUAAUAUUUAACGCAGAGUUUUGCUCUUAGUCAGUGCUCAAUAGAUACUAGAUAUUUAUAAAUACCAAAUAUCAAUUGACUAAAUUGAUGUUCAGUUUCAAAGAUGGAUUGAUAACCAGUUAUCAACCUAUCUAAAAGGACAAAAGGAACACUGGGAACCUCUAUUUUCUGUGGGAUACAAAGGAAUACUUGUCAUGGUUUUUAGCUGGGAGUGACAGAGCUCAGUCUGGCUGAUUGUGGUGACAGAACUGCGUCUGGCUGAUUGUGUAGAGGAGGAGUUUUUUGGAAGGCUGUAGGGGAGUUUAUCAGAUCAUUGAGAGGGCUGAAGAACCAGCCUAGAGGCUAAACUUCCAGAAACCUGCCUACAGCUGUGCUGUCAAGCCUGUCAGAGGGGGAAGCCACUGUGGCCGUCACCAUGCGCUUGUCCCCAUAAUUUGCUCACUGCAGCUUUGGCCCAGGAACUGGACUUGCUGCUCCCACCAGUGCUUCUGAUUGGAAGAGCCCAGGUCACAUGUCUGCACUGAGCUGCAAGGGAGACUGGAAAGUGAGCUCCUCGCCAAACAUAAGAAGCGUAUCUAAAAGGUGUCAGGCAGCCACCAAUAGGACCGACGUCCUCUAAAUGGACGGUCACGAAGUCUUCACUUGCUCCUAGCUCAUAAUCGUGCAUCUGGAUUUGGGCCACUCCUGGUGGUCUAGUCGUUAAGAUUCAGCACUCUCACUGCUGUGGCCUGGGUUCAUGUCCCUGAGCCACACCACCUGUCUGUUGGUUGUCAUACUGAUGCAGGCUCAGCGAGCUGACGAGUCAAAAGAAAUGUUUCUUGGACUCUCAAGGUCUGGUAGUAGUGCUCCUUGAUUCAGAGAAUAGCAUGGGGACAGGACCCAUGGGCAGUGAAGAGCUGCGACGGGUUGAGGGUAGGGCUAAAGUCAUAUGGCAAAGGUAUGUGAGUUAUUUUUUACUAGACAAAGGAAAGAUCAUGUAAAAAAGUCGUUAAAAUGGUAUCAGUGCAGGUGGGGUCUGGUUAUGGGGUGGUUGUACAACUUUGGAUACAAAUCAGGUGGAAUCAGGUCAGACGUCCUAUAUGUCCCAGAGGAUGAUAUAGAUCCAUAUGUAGGGCAUGACGCCUUGGGCUUCUCUCUCUGGGGCAGCCUUGAUCCACAUCAAUACUGUGGUGUCUGCAUGUUGCUGUGAUACUGAAAGUCUGCCACAGGUAUUUCAAAUACAGCAGGGUCACCCAUGGUGGACAGGUUUCAGUGGAGCUUCCAGACUAGACAGACCAGGAAGAAAGACGUGGCCACCCACUUAUGGCCAUGAAAAGCCUGUGACUGAAGCAUUGUCUCUCUAUAUAUACAGCGCUGGAAGGGAGAGGAUGGGCAAAACCCCAGGCAGGGCUCUGCGCUGCUGUCCACAGGGUCGCUAGGGUUAGAAUCCACUCCGCGGCACCAGCACAUACCUAUACACAGAGUUACACAGGUGAACACAAGAGCUGACCUAGGGUACUUGAUUUCCUUUUCUUCUCUUUGCAGCUGAUGUUGCAUUUCACCAUUAUAUGCUUUAGUUUAACCAUCUAGAAAAUUAAUGUAAUACUGCCUACCAAAUGCUGAGAAUUGGCAGUAAUAGUAAUGUGCUUUGAGGUCCUUGGAUGAAAAGCACUCCAAGGAUUUACUGUAUCCUUAUUCAAAAUAGAUGAUUUCUAAUGAAAAUGCUAAGUUCAAAGGGAUGAUGGCUUCUCAGGAUGCAAAACGGGCAGCAUCUGGUAUAUCAGCUUAAUCAAGCAGUCCUGGAGAUGUCUGCCUCCCUCGCUCCCUCGCUCCUUGGUGGGCACUGGAAGGCAGAAGCGUGCAGGAAGGGUAAGGGGCGUAAUCAGUCACGACAUGCCAGCUUAUUAUAUCAGCUGCUCGCACAGCUGGCACCUUCUGAAGCUAAUCACAGCCCCUUGAAAGUUCUCUGGGUUGGACUUUCUGCUACAUCCUCAUCCUAGGUAGGUCAAGAGGCAGAGAGACCCGGGAUGAGGCCCCUUAGAGCACCAUUCUCCUACGCGUGACUCAGCGGGACAGAAUCGCAAAUCUUUCUUCUGUUUGUCGGGGACCCGGAAGCUCCUCCAGCGGUGUAGGAUCAGCAGUGGAAUUUCUCUCACAGCUCUCCUCUCUUUCCUUUCUGGCUCUGUUGUGUUCCCAGCCUGGUAGCCUUAGCUCCCCCCUUCCCCAAGGCUCUAGUCAGUUCUUCGUCACUGACUCUGCUGCGGAGAAUGGCAACGCAGCUUCCGAAUCCCUCUUCCUCUCUGGCAGCCCACCUCCUCUCUCACGCAUUGCUCUCCACCCCAGAGACACCUUCGAGGAUCCUCCUCCUCCUCCUUAACACCCUUCCCUUCCUUUCCCAUUCAUCGUGUUACUGGCACAUUGGGUUCUUAUUCUCUCCCAGGAUGGAAUUCAAGAGAGACAACAAACAGGAGUAGAAAAGUAAAAGUUGAUCAGCUUGUGCAAGAAAGGAAAGGGGCAAGUGACUGGCUCAUUGGGGAGCUAGACUGUGGGGUGUUUAUUAGGCAAAGGCUGGGGAGGAGGGCCUUGUCACGGCCUUGUCAACGCAAAUAAUCCAUAACCAACCUAUGAAUCAGAAUUGGGGUGAGUUUAUUAUAAGCCAAACUGAGGAUUAUAACCCGGGAAGGCCCUAGAAAGCGUUCCAGAGAAGCAUGGGUUUCAACACAGUCUGAUAUCUUUUUAGAACAAAGAACAUACAUUAAACACACCCAGGGUACAUUUCCAUCAAAAUUUCAAAGAGGUAUGCAGUUGCAAAUUAGCAGGUCAAUGUGACCCUGAUGUCAGGAAAGGGACCAAUCUGGGCGUCACCCAAUAGGGUAUGCAUUCUCAUCUGAAGAGAGAGCAUUCUUUACUCUGAUGGUUAAGCAGAUGGACAAUGUGUGUUUGAUAGGCCAUAAAUCAGCUUUUUAGUCAAGCUGAGUCAGUUUUGAACCCAAAUAGUUACCCGCUAUACCUCAAUAUAUGACAAUCUCCUGUCAGCACGUAGAGGUGGGCGUGCUUGUGCCUGUGCUGUCACUACUACAUGAGACGCAUGUAUUGUUAGGUGCCAGCUCUCCCCUGGGUGUGAUUUUCACUAUGGUAAUGGGGCUGGGGUCACCUUCAGUGGACUCCUGGGUGCUAGGGCACACGCUUAAGCCCGUGAGAGUCCAGAGGCUGCGUAAUGUGGAUCUUGGUGGCUCUAUCUGAUUCUCCUAGCCUCCUGAUUGGUUAGGGGCCUUGUGCUGUAAGGACAGGGGCCUUGCAGAUGGCCCUGUCUCGUUAGGCUGGUUCCUGUAUCGUCGAGUCUCCAAGGAUUUCCAAGGUAACCACACCAUGAGUCUAUGUGCCUCUUCUCUUUCCGGUCUGCAGCAAGCCCUGGUCAUUUCCUCUUUCCUCUUCUCUCUCAUCAGCAGGGACAGGUGCGCUGUUCCCCCCGCAACAGGCCAUGGUUCGGCUGGCAAAGUGAAUCUCACGACACGGCCUCCACGCUAUGGCGCGUCAUGGGGACUGCGCCAGGCUCUCUGCCUGUCGCUAAAAUGGGGCACGUGGAAAGACAGACGCAUCAGCCCGUUAUAUCGCAUCGUCCCUGCUCAGCUGACCUCAGCCUAGGAAUGAGUGAGAGAGACUCCCAACCCCAGUCCACCCACGCUUACGGCAAGAUUAUUUGGAGGGAAAAAAGCAUUCAGAGUUCCUUUUUUGGAGCAGUCACUUGAUGCAGGUGCUCAGAAAAGGUUUAAGCUGAAUCUGGCCCCGAUCAGCCAGUGAUUGACUGUGGAAGGGCACAGAAGCCUCCCCAGCUGCUUACGAAUGACAGGGCGCUGGCUGUGGACUGAGAGCCUGUGGGAGGGAGACUGAGUAUUUAUUAAAAUCUCUUUUGUCAGCCAGAUUUAUUUUCAUCUUUCUUCACAAGAUGUGAUAGUUUUGCAUCAGCGCAUCUAAGUGAAAUAAUUUGCUAAAGGUCAAAUGCAAUUCCCUCCAACCAGCUUUCACUUACCUUCUAAUUAACAACUAAAUGUCCACACAUACAUUAGCUUGAGGCUCAUGCAUACAAUAAUAACUACCAUUUAUUGAACACCUAUUAUGUCCCAGGCAUUGUGAAUACAUUAUCUCAACUUCUCACAAGCCCAGAAGGCAGGAAUACCCUUCACGGAGGAGAAAGAUGCCUGGAGAGGUGAAGAAAUCAGCCAGUGGUCAUGCAAAUUAGCAUCUGCAGCCAAAAGCUCCAGCUUUCUCACACUGGCUGCAGGGCAGCGGCUUCCUGCAAGGCUUUGAUGACUUGGGCCAUCUGCUGUUACUGACGAGAGGGAAGAUGAGAGAUCGCCCAGAGGUGCUGGCCGGUGUCUCCGUGGAAGGGAGACGCGGAGGACGCACGUCUGGAGCAUCAGCAGAGCUUUACGACGCAGAUUCAGACAACCAACGAGAACCGCUCCCUCCGCAGGGGUGUCAGAGCGCGGGGCUGGAAAUUAAUUUAGCCCAGUGCCCACUUUACCAAGAUGUGCGUGACCUUCCCAAGGUCACCUAGCUAGAAGCAGAACUGAGAGCCCUGGUCCCCCACCUCCUCAGCACGUCCAAGUUCAAGUGGAGAGGAGCACUGAGGACUUCAGACCCUCUAAAGGUCUCCUUGAACUCCAGCAGGAUUUAAUAAUAGCUGGCUGGGAAUAGAAAUGUGGAUGCUGAAGGAGAGCGCUUGAACAGGCCGCGACAGGAACAGUGGUCCCGCACACACGGCCGUCCCGUGCGGGUUUCCGGCGGGGAAGAGAGAGGAAGCAGGUGGCACUCUCUGGAUAAGCCCCUGCUCCCUCCGAGGCCUCUCCUCCGGUCUUCAAGGAGAACAUCGAGCCGUGUCCUCUCACUGGGAGCUCCCCCCAGGGUCACGGAGAAAACCAAGGCCCGAGGAGGGCCAGCCUCGGAGGGCGCGGCGAGGAGCGGCUGCCAGGCUGGGGAGUCCUGGGCUGUAGGAGCUCAGCGCCGGCCCAGCCUCGGCCUCGGUCCCCGGCUCCUUCGGACCCGUCCGGUUUUGUUGAUGGGACGGCGUUCAGCUGCUGGGCAGCCCGCCGUGGACGGAGGAUGCACUGGGCGCCGGCACAGGCAGCGUCUCCCUGUCUGAGCAUCACCCUCGUCUCCCACGCUGCCCCCCGGGGAGAUGUUUCUCCAGGAGUCGUGUUUGGUUUGGGAUCUGAGCCUGGAGCCUGUGAGAACUGGGAUGGACUCAUCUUUCCUCUUCUUUGGACUCCCGCCCGCCCCAGUCACCACCACCGACCCUGCGGGGCAGGGGCACAUCGGAGUCCAGAUGGGCCCUGUUUCCCUCAAGGAUGGGCCCGUUCCAGCUUCGUUUCACUGCCUCCCCUGAGGAUCCUGUAAACAUUUCCAGAAGGAUGCAGAUAAGAAAAAAAGGAUCUUAUGUAAACACUGGAUGGCUAGGGACCAGGAGAUGUUAUUAGUUUAUUAGGGUUUUACAAAUACCCAAAAGCUCAGCUAAAGGAAAGCAGAAAUGUGCUUUUGUUUUAACCUCUGCUGUUGUUGUGAGGGUCAGGAACGGGCUGGAAGCGGGCCUCUUGGUGGACAUGUGAUGCUGUGAGGAUCACAGGAGGGGCAGUGGGGCAAUGACAGACAUCUGACUGCGGUGACCUUCCCGGCCAGUGAGGAGUGGGG
ensembl:lncRNA